rnacentral:misc_RNA from 1 species
GUAGGUGAACCUGCGGAAGGAUCAUUAAAGAGUCCAUAGAUGGCGCAAGCCUUCUAUACACUCCACCCUUUGUUAACAUUACCUUUGUUGCUUUGGCAGGCCUGUCUUUGGGCUACCGGCUUAGGCUGGUUAGUGCCUGCCAAGGGACCUAAAACUCUUGUUAAUAUUAUUGUCUGAGUACUAUUUAAUAGUUAAAACUUUCAACAACGGAUCUCUUGGUUCUGGCAUCGAUGAAGAACGCAGCAUCUGA